rnacentral:rRNA from 1 species
CAGUCGAGCGAACAUCUUGCGGAAGCCUUCGGGUGGAAGCAAGAUUGACUGAGCGGCGGACGGGUGAGUAACGCGUGGGUGACCUGCCUCAUACAGGGGGAUAACAGUUAGAAAUGACUACUAAUACCGCAUAAGCGCACAGUGCUGCAUGGCACAGUGUGAAAAACCCCGGUGGUAUGAGAUGGACCCGCGUCUGAUUAGGUAGUUGGUGGGGUAACGGCCCACCAAGCCGACGAUCAGUAGCCGACCUGAGAGGGUGACCGGCCACAUUGGGACUGAGACACGGCCCAAACUCCUACGGGAGGCAGCAGUGGGGAAUAUUGGACAAUGGGGGAAACCCUGAUCCAGCGACGCCGCGUGACUGAAGAAGUAUUUCGGUAUGUAAAGGUCUAUCAGCAGGGAAGAAAAUGACGGUACCUGACUAAGAAGCCCCGGCUAACUACGUGCCAGCAGCCGCGGUAAUACGUAGGGGGCAAGCGUUAUCCGGAUUUACUGGGUGUAAAGGGAGCGUAGACGGCGAUGCAAGUCUGGAGUGAAAGCCCGGGGCUCAACCCCGGGACUGCUUUGGAAACUGUGUUGCUAGAGUGCAGGAGAGGUAAGUGGAAUUCCUAGUGUAGCGGUGAAAUGCGUAGAUAUUAGGAGGAACACCAGUGGCGAAGGCGGCUUACUGGACUGUAACUGACGUUGAGGCUCGAAAGCGUGGGGAGCAAACAGGAUUAGAUACCCUGGUAGUCCGCGCCGUAAACGAUGAAUACUAGGUGUUGGGGAGCAAAGCUCUUCGGUGCCGUCGCAAACGCAGUAAGUAUUCCACCUGGGGAGUACGUUCGCAAGAAUGAAACUCAAAGGAAUUGACGGGGACCCGCACAAGCGGUGGAGCAUGUGGUUUAAUUCGAAGCAACGCGAAGAACCUUACCAAGUCUUGACAUCGGAAUGACCGGUCCGUAACGGGGCCUUCCCUUCGGGGCAUUCCAGACAGGUGGUGCAUGGUUGUCGUCAGCUCGUGUCGUGAGAUGUUGGGUUAAGUCCCGCAACGAGCGCAACCCUUAUCCUUAGUAGCCAGCAGGUAGAGCUGGGCACUCUGGGGAGACUGCCAGGGAUAACCUGGAGGAAGGUGGGGAUGACGUCAAAUCAUCAUGCCCCUUAUGAUUUGGGCUACACACGUGCUACAAUGGCGUAAACAAAGGGAAGCGAAGCCGUGAGGUGAAGCAAAUCCCAAAAAUAACGUCUCAGUUCGGAUUGUGGUCUGCAACUCGACUACAUGAAGCUGGAAUCGC